GUAAACUCUCGCUGUGGCAGUUCUACAGCUCCAGUGGCUGUGGGCGGCAUGUGGUGGGCAGGCCAGGGGGAGAGGGUUAAUGAGCUGUGGAGUUCUCUCUGUUGGACUCAUGGAGGCUGAUGUGAAAUCUUCGCUCAGCUAGUCUUGAGCAUGUUAGAUUUGCACUUGAAGACCUCAGGUUACCUACAUUUUACAAAGAGUUGAGUCAAGGAUUCUUGCCUGAGAUUCCUGAAAAUAGGUACAUAAGGAAUGCAGCUAACAGAGUUCAUCUAAAGUCAUUGGUUGAGACCAAAGAAAGAAGAAAGGAAAGAUAAUUUGCAAACAUCCAUUCAAGAAGAAGGAAAUGAAUAGCUAAAAGUACACUGGAGAAGUAUUUUAGCAGAAAUGACUGCAAGAGUGGUUCAUGGUUGCUUCUGCCCAUUUCCUUUCUUGAGUGGCAAAAAGUGAUUCCUUUUUCAUUUUGGGUCUGAAGGAUUUGUUGUGUGUUGAUUGAAAUGUAAAGAUUAUAAAGGACAAGUGUGAUCAUAACAGAAGCUCUUAAAAAAAUAUAAAAAAUAACUAUAGCUUAAACCAAAUAAUUUUCUUUCCUUCAGUAAACUGCCUACCAUUGUAAGUUUCUGAAAAGCCUGUAUCACAAGAACAACAGAAAUACCUGAACCCAGAUGAAUCCUGCCGCCAAGCAUGUUGAGACAUAUACAUCAUUAUAUGACAAGGAUACGUAUAAAACUGAUGUUGGAAUUUGGUCUUAAGUUAGUUGUUUGUUUUCUUAUUUAUUCCCCUGUUAUUUACCGAUGAGACAGAGUA
ensembl:lncRNA